rnacentral:rRNA from 1 species
AUUGAACGCUGGCGGCAGGCCUAACACAUGCAAGUCGAACGGUAGCACAGAGAGCUUGCUCUCGGGUGACGAGUGGCGGACAGGUGAGUAACGUCUGGGAAACUGCCCGAUGGAGGGGGAUAACUACUGGAAACGGUAGCUAAUACCGCAUAACGUCGCAAGACCAAAGUGGGGGACCUUCGGGCCUCACACCAUCGGAUGUGCCCAGAUGGGACUAGCUAGUAGGUGGGGUAAUGGCUCACCUAGGCGACGAUCCCUAGCUGGUCUGAGAGGAUGACCAGCCACCCUGGAACUGAGACACGGUCCAGACUCCUACGGGAGGCAGCAGUGGGGAAUAUUGCACAAUGGGCGCAAGCCUGAUGCAGCCAUGCCGCGUGUAUGAAGAAGGCCUUCGGGUUGUAAAGUACUUUCAGCGGGGAGGAAGGCGGUGAAGUUAACAGCUUCACCGAUUGACGUUACCCGCAGAAGAAGCACCGGCUAACUCCGUGCCAGCAGCCGCCGUAA